GGGGCCAGAACCCGGGCGGCGUCAGCGGACCAGAGGUUGGGGAGCCCAGGAGAGGACCGGGUAGAGCCCUACGCUGAAGCAUGUCUGUGAGCUGAGGAGGGAAGUACAAGGCGUGUCCACCUUUCCUCGCUGCCAGUUACACAGAGUGUUCACCAUCCUCCGUGAACGUGGAGUUCUGGGGACCCACAGGCAUGGGAGUUCAGAGAAGCUCAAAGUGAGUCCAAGGGGUUGACCUCCAGGAACUGCAUCAGGAGGCCCCCUGGCCUCUAACUUCCUGUUGGCUUCAGCUAAGGAGAAAGGAGGAACGCUGAGAGCGGAUGGACGGGAGGAGGGAGGAGCAUGUUGUCAGUGUACUGUGUUUUUCCAGUGUCUUCUCUGUGGGCUGCUGAGGGCCUGAAGCUCCCUCCUCACAGCUCUCUCACUCUCCAAAUCCUGAUGUGACCAGCUCCACCCCCUCCCUCCCCCAGGCUCCCUGAUGUUGCCAGCCCCAAAGUAUUCACUGCCUUUGUGGUUCCCCCACACCUGUCCUCGACUGUGUAGAUGUUCUCUUCAUUAAAUUCUCCUGAACUGUC